UACGGAGGGAGCUAGCGUUAUUCGGAAUUACUGGGCGUAAAGCGCACGUAGGCGGCUUUGUAAGUAAGAGGUGAAAGCCUGGUGCUCAACACCAGAACUGCCUUUUAGACUGCAUCGCUUGAAUCAUGGAGAGGUGAGUGGAAUUCCGAGUGUAGAGGUGAAAUUCGUAGAUAUUCGGAAGAACACCAGUGGCGAAGGCGGCUCACUGGACAUGUACUGACGCUGAGGUGCGAAAGCGUGGGAGCAAACAGG
rnacentral:rRNA from 1 species